rnacentral:tRNA from 1 species
GGGGUUGUGGCUCAGUGGUAGAGCGCUCGUCUAACAUGUGUGAGGCACUGGGUUUGAUCCCCCGCACCACA